rnacentral:lncRNA from 1 species
GUGAGAUGGAUUCGAGGACGAAUCCUUUUGAAGAAGGGAGAAAUUAUGUGACCCCGGGAAGGCGUUCCAUUUACUCAGGAGGCAACCAUUAGAUUUUGUGCCAAUUCAGAAAGAAGGCUCAGGAGAAGCAUGGACCAAGGAAACGGAGUCGAGAUUCGAUGACAAAACCCAAUCCCAUGAAGCCCAAGGAUCCAGUUCAUGCAAGCUUAGAUUGACUAAGAUGGAUCAUCGAUGCCAUCAACACCGGGAAGCCUUAUGGGCCGCUGAGACAAUCGACCCUAAGAAGCAUCAAUGAUGACGAGUUAUGGGCUUCCAGAUUAAUCCUAGAAAACAACAGUGGUGUGUCCGAGACGACGCAUGGAGGGGAGAUACUGGGGGGCAGGUGACCUGAGUCACUCGACCUGCCACCCGUCCUACUAGGCCCAACCCACAACCGAGCAAACUGCAUGCCUGAGAAGAACGUGCUGCCCAUGUCGCAUGUGUAACACCCAAUUUAUUAUUUU